rnacentral:tRNA from 1 species
UCCCUCGAGCCGGAUUUGAACCAGCGACAUACGGAUCACCGUUGUAACAUCUACAGUCCUCCGCUCUGCCAACUGAGCUAUCGAGGG